AAAGGGUUGUUGUAGACUACAACGUUGAUAGGCAGGGUGUGGAAGCGUCGUAAGGCGUUAAGCUAACCUGUACUAAUUGCCCGUGCGGCUUAACCAU
rnacentral:ncRNA from 1 species